UCACCAGAGCCAAGAGGUAUAAUAGACUGAACAGAACCUUUUCCGAAAGUUUUUGUCCCAAUUACGGUGGCUCUUUUAUUAUCACCAAGAGCCCCGGCAAAUAUUUCAGAUGCCGAAGCCGAACCGCCAUUCGUUAUAAUGAUAAUUUCUGCUCCAUUUGUAAUAUCGCCCUUUUUUGCAAAAAAUCUUUGCUUUCUUGAUUGGUCCCUAGUUUUCGUGGAUACAAUCUCCCCUUUAUCCAAAAAUAAGUCUGUAACUUUGAUUGCUUGGUCGAGAAGACCACCUGGGUUAUUGCGA
rnacentral:ncRNA from 1 species